GACGAACGCUGGCGGCGUGCUUAACACAUGCAAGUCGAACGGUGAAGCGCCUUCCUUUUUGGUGGGUGUGGAUGAGUGGCGAACGGGUGAGUAACACGUGAGUAACCUGCCCCCUUCUUCUGGAUAAGCGCAUGAAAGUGUGGCUAAUACGGGAUAUUCUGGGUCUGUCGCAUGAUGGGUCUGGGAAAGAUAUUGUUUCGGUGGGGGAUGGGCUCGCGGCCUAUCAGCUUGUUGGUGGGGUGAUGGCCUACCAAGGCGGUGACGGGUAGCCGGCCUGAGAGGGUGGACGGUCACACUGGGACUGAGACACGGCCCAGACUCCUACGGGAGGCAGCAGUGGGGAAUAUUGCACAAUGGGCGCAAGCCUGAUGCAGCGACGCCGCGUGAGGGAUGGAGGCCUUCGGGUUGUGAACCUCUUUCGCCAGUGAAGCAGGCCUGCCUCGUUUGUGGGUGGGUUGACGGUAGCUGGAUAAGAAGCGCCGGCUAACUACGUG
rnacentral:rRNA from 1 species